UGAUUUUCAAGCAUAAUCAUGUCACGCUGAAUAGAAUGUAUCGAUCCACGCAUAGCAAACACAGGAUCAUUUGGAGAGUAGCCAAUCUGCUGGAAUCCCUCUGCAGCGCCACGAAACAGGUCAAGAAUGAAGCAUCCAUCAAGCACCAUCAUUUCCACAAACUCAUUGCUACUAAGAUUAAUCUUCCCUUCAUAACAAGCCCGAGUUCUCUCUUCAAGUUCCUUCAUAGAAUCAAGAUAGAAUUUAACAUCCUGAUUAGUACGCUUCAAGACCUGGUACAAAGACCGCCACUUGUGGCGAUCCAUGUUCCUAUGACGCCUCCUGCCAUGGUGAUAAGGCCCCAAUGACACAAUUUGAGGAAUAUAAGCCUUAUUAUCACCUCCCUUCAAAUACUGAGGGACUUUGUAAAUGGAAACUUUCCCCCAGGAACUACCCAAAUCUUCUUGCCUAGCUUGUUCAAGCUUUUCACCGAUAUUGAUCACCCAUUCAGAGACCUCUGGCCUAGGCCCUGGUUCAAAAACAACAGCCUCCCGUGUGGCCGAUGUCUCGACGUGAUGUUCGAGAAGGUAUGCUUGCUCUGAUCGGUACAGCGCUGAAGCUUGUGGCGUAGAAACUCCAGAUUCUACAGUUUCUUUGAGUUUCAGAGUGAGUAGGUACCAGCUUAAGAGUUCUUUGUUGAAAACUGCCACCAUUUUUAUUUUUUUUUGAAAGCUUUAAUGCAGGGGGGCUCUCAGGUCUGGUUGGUUAAUUGCAGCUGGUUGUGGUGAAGCAACUGAAAAACCGUAAAAGAAUUUAUAAAAUUUGCAAGCAUGCAAACAAAGAAUUUGUGGCCAAGCAAGGGGUAGUUGAAAUGGACCUCAAAUAAUUUGUGAUUGGACAGUAUAUAUAACCAACUGUAUAGGAGUAUCAUUUUCACAUGUAGCCGACUGUGUCUGAGCUAAGCUUCUCAGAAAUGCAUGGUCUCUCUUUUAUGCACAUACUGAAUUAUGGAAGAACCGACUUCUCACUGAACAUAAAACAGUACGGCUUCACAUGUUAUGAUUUACGACUCUUAACAGAUAAGAUGUGUUUCUGACUAACCAAUUACUUAUGUCAAAUAUUAUAUGAUAUUUAUUAUAUGAUAUAAAAGCUUAUGACAGCCAAGUUUCAUUUUGACUUCGGCUAUUUGUUCUUGCGACUGGUUAUUAGUGUCAAAUAUUGCGGACAAAUAAAAUUGCAAUGAAUCCAUUCUGGAUUGUACAACUUGACCCACGAUACCCAACUUCACAUUCUAAUUUUUACUCAUCUUUUUCACUCUCUCAUCUUAUUUUAUUCUCUCUCCCAACCUAUCUCCUAAAUUUCUAUUCAAAACAAAUUUAUUUUUUUAGAAAAGAAUAAUUUAUUAAAUAGAAAAAAUAUCCGAAUACAAAGACUCUAACACAUCCCGAGGAGGAGGAGAGGUAAAAAUUAUAAUGUUUUUUUUUUUGAAAAGCAGGACUUUUAUUAGUAAAACCCAACUCCAACAAGAGAAGGGAGUGGACCUUGAGAAACAAAAAAUUAUAAUGUGUGAUGUUUAUAUUUCAUAACAAUAUUAUUUUAUUUUUAAAAUAUAGUUACUAUAAUUAUAUUAUUAUUUCAAGUUUUUAUUUUAUAUUUUAAAAUUACUUAAUUAAUUUAAAUUUCCAUAUGGACAUCUCAAUAAUUUUUAAAAAGUUUUAAAUUUAAUGAUUAAAACAAUAUUAAUAACUUAUUUUUGAAUUUAUAAAUAAAGAUUUUUAAUUUAUUGUUUUUUUUUUGAAGAUAUUUUUAAAUUAUUGUUAUUACAUUAAUUUCUAGUGAACCAUCAAAUGCGAUUUUUGAGUGAGUAGCUUCUCAGUAGUUAGUCAAUUUCAAACAUUUUUUCAAAAAAUCCAUUAGCUUUUCAGUGUAUUAUCACUUCAAACUGAUUUAUUUUCUACAAUCCAAUUAAUUAUUUUUAUCUAUUUUCUAAACUGAUAUAAUAGGAGUAAUCUUUAACAUCUGGUAUAAUUACAUUAUCUUAAUCGGUUUUUCUAUGGUGUGUCCAUGGGCACAUGCUAAGCGCAGAAAUUUUUGUGCUUAGAUCAUUUUGAUUGGCUCCUACUUCUUAAUAAUGGUGGACCCCCUGCAAAUGCACCAACCACACCAAUCAAAAUGCUUCAAAUGCAAAAAUUUUCGCGCUUAGCAUGUGCCCAUGGGCAGACAAACCCUGUCUCAGUACAUGCCAAAAUCUCUCAUGGAUAAAUUAGUUUCAAUUACCUAUUUCCAUUGUGGGUCCGUUUGGCUUGGUCAAACAGCAUCACACCCCUACAAAUUCGUGGCUAUGGGUUUUUUCAUUCUUAAUCGGAUGUCCCCCAAGGGACCUUUGUGGCUGUUGUUGCGACUGCAAUGCAAGCAGCACCAGUCAUUUUUAAGGAUCCGUGGUAGCCGUUAAUUAAAAAUGACAUGUGAAAUUUAUACUCAUACAGUCAUAUAUAGCGAGAAUCUUUAGAAUGGAAAACGGGCAUAUCGGCAGAUUCCCUGUCGCGCCUCAACCUUUACCAUCAUUCCCUCUUCUCUUUUUGGACAAUUCUUGCAAAUCUAUAAUGAAACAAGACUUUUGAGCCAACAAUGAAAAAGCUAUGCCUCGGUGGCUCAAAUCGGCAGGCUAUAAGAGGAAUUUGUGUAGGAUUCCACUAACAAAGGGACUGAUUUUUCCCCCCUCCCGACAUAUUUGGUAAUAAUACAACUCAACAACUAUCAUCUAUAAUUUCUGUUAAUUAUAUAAUUAUGAAUUUUAGAGUUUGUAUGAUUUUAAUGUUUUUUUUUUCGAAAAUUUUUUGAACAUACGUUGUAACUAUAAUAAAAUCAAAUACAAUUGUUUGAAAAGAUAAUUAUUUUUUACUGGUUUAGACUCUAAAUUUUUGAGUUCAAUUUUGACUCGGAUUAUUUUAUGUUUAUGAUAUCUGCAAGAACACCAUCUUAUCUAAAAUUAUUUGAAUAAUAAUUUUUCUUUAAAUUGCAUUUGUGAUUGUCAUUUCCAGCAACUUAUAUACAGUUGCAAAAGCUGUAUAGAGUAAUUUAUGAAAAAUGUUUAAAAAAUAAUACUUUUGUAAUUCUUAUACAAUUUAUAUUUUUUGCAAAUUUUUAUAAAGUUACAAUAUUUUUACAAAACCAUUUCCGGAUUUAGAUAUUUGUGAACAAAUCCCAUUAUAUAAAUAUUCGUUGUGUUUUAAAAACUAUUAUGUAUUUAUUCAAUUUAUAUACGGACUAAUAUUUGUCCACAUAAAUUUUAAUAAAUAAUAAUAAUAAUAAUAAAUAGUAAUAGUAAUCAAUUUGAAGAUAGAAAUUAAUAUUUAUUGUCUUCUAAAAUUAUUCUACCUUUACUCAAUUUAAGCCUGAAUGAAUAUAUUUGUCCAUGUGACUUUUGAAAUAUAAAUGCCAACGCUAAAUAGUCUAAUCAAUUUUGAGUAUUUUUUCAAUUUUAAUAUAUAUCUCUCAAUCUCAAUAUAUUAUUAAUAUAGUAUUAGAUACAACCUAUUUUAACCUUUGAAAAGUCAAAAGAUAAUUCAUAUCAACAAUUUAGGAUUCUCGACAAAAAAAAUUGAAAUUUAAUUGUACAUACAUAUCCUACUCGACUACAAUCGUUAAAAUAAAAUAAAGUUUUGAAAACACAUCUUCAGAAUUUAACUAUGAUGCUCAACUAUAAACGUUAAAAUAAAACCAAAUUUUGAAACACAUUUCACAAUUUAACCAUGGGUGCUAUAUGUGUAAUUGUAGCCAAUGUGUAAAAUAUUACUCAUAUUUGACGUAGAAAGAGCAUCUUUAAAAGAUUAAAAAUCGUUAAUUUAAGUGUCAUUUCAAAAGUUAUCUACAUUAGUUUUCUUUUUUUGAUAACAUGUAAAAGGGAUUGUACUCCAACCAUCAUCUAUUAACAAUUAUAUUUUAUAAUUAUAAUCUAUUUAGAUAAACAUUGAAGCUCAUAAAUUAUGUGGGUGUUUGGGAGAGUGGUUUAUGGGCUUAAAAACCUGUAAAACCUACUUCUGCUUUUGCUCCGUCCGAUUGACAAAUCUCACGAAGCGCUUUAUUAAGCGAAAAAAAGCCCAGAAAAAAAAAGUUAGGAAAUCUAAUUUUUUUUCAAGACUCAACUUGUGCUUCUUUCUUUUUGACAGAAAACGACUUCAGCGGCGACUUUUCUUUCAACGGCGACAACGAGCUAUUACCCUGUCUCUUCUUCUCGUAGCUGUUUUUCAAGUAACAAAAUCACUGAUGGUAAUCGAUUCAGCUUUCCUUCCCAUCCAAACAACGGUAAUGAAUUGCUACACACUCUUUGUCGAUCUGCAGCUUCAAUUCUAGACAUUUUUUGAUUCAAUCUGUAUGUAUAUACUUGUAAAUGUCGGGAUCGUUUGAGUGGACGGAAGAAAUUCACACCCUUUUUGUUGAGCUAUGCGCCAGUGAAGUCGUUAAGGAAAAUCGGGUUGGGAUUACCCUAAACAAAGAAGGCUGGAGCAAUGUUGAGCAAGGACUCCACACACAAUUGAAAGUGGUGUGUACAUAAACAGAUGAAGAAUCACUGGGAGAAAAUGAAAGGGGAUUUUGAGAUCUUCAAAAAACUCAAAUUCGGUGAAAGUGGCCUUGGAUGGAAUGAGAUGAAGAAGACGAUUGAAGCACCUGAAUCAUGGUGGACACAUGUUAUGUAGAUUUGCAAUUAAUUUUUUGUGUGUUGGUUGGGUUUUUUGUUGUGAUUUAUUUCUACAUCCAAUCGGAAAUAAAUAUUAUCUUGUUGAUGCAGGUUAUGCACAUAAAAAAAGAUAUAUGACUUCGUAAAAGGGUACAAAAAUAAGAUACUAUCAUUUACAAGAUUUUCGUCGCGUUAAUAGUACUACACCUGAACCGUGAAACGCAAAAAAGAAAUAUAAUCAUUUACAUUCAUUGUGGAGAAUGGUUAUCAAACAGACAUUCGGAGUGUGGAAAGCUACAUUUGUUAUUUUAGCAAAUAUGCCAAUUUAUACAAUAAAUACGCAAACAGAUAUCGUUCUGGCUACAAUGACAGUUCAUAAUUAUAUCAGGAAAUCAAAUGUUGCAGAUAACUAUUUUCAAACUGCUGAACAAGAAACUUAUAUGCCGGAAAAUUGAAUUUCAAGCACCAAUAUUAAUCGUGGAGAAUCCAGCAACGAAAGCAAUAACGAUGAAAUUUGAAAUGCAAAACGUGAUGAAAUUGCCGGUGUUAUUAAAUAAAUGAUGCACCUUUUUACUUGUAUUAUUUGCAGUUGCUAAUUUUUUUCUUUUAUUGCAAGAGUGAAAAUUUUACACUUGUAAAAUAUUUCAUGUAUUAACAAUAAAAGAUUUUUUAUAAUUAUAAUUUAUUUUUUUUAAAAAAAUAAAUUAUUAUAUUACAAAAUUACCAAACUAAUACCAACUUAUAAGUUAAGUAUCCAAACACUUGAAAACUUCCGAUAUCUUAUAAGUCACGGUAUCCAAACAAUUAUGGUAGCUUAUAAGUCCAAACCAACUUCUUACUUUUAAUCUAUUUUUUUAUUUUAAACAAUAAGUUAUUUCUUUUAAAUUCAGCCAAACGGUCCCUAUAUCACCCUUCGAUAUGCUCAAAGUCAAUUAUAAUGCAUUUCUGAGUUUAUCCUAUAUUUGAAUGUAAGGGAAACUAUUCAAUUGAAUAGUAAGGCCUUUUUUACUGUAGUAUUUUCCGAAUACAGACAAAUACAUAUUCAUACAAUUAUAUUAUUGCUCGAGUGAAAGAAAUUUAACUUCUCCGUGAGAUUUUUAAAUCUAUGGAAAUUUUUGUUCCUUAAAUCUGUUUGCGGCAUGGGUGUCGUGUUAUUGAAGUAGAAGACGAAACCAUUCCAUUAAACUUACAAAGGUGAAAACCCCACCAUUUAUAUAUUAUAUAAUUUUAUUAAAAAGUGACCAAUAUUUUUCUCUAAUUUGGUGGAUUUAUUUAAUUUUCUUUGCUGGAGUUGAGCGUUGACCCACUCUCUGAUUGGCAAUUCGGAAGGCCAUAUUAUGACAUUUUUCAUUUUUCUGGUUUAACCUAUGAAGGCCAUAUUCGAAAGUAGGUGAAUAUAAAGUGAAGACUUUGCCAUGUCUGUUUUCAUUGUAACGCUACACAAAUGCUUAGAUAACUGCUAACAGAAAACAUGAAAAGUAAUUUCAAGUUUGAAUCACAGUUGAUCAACAACAAGUUAGACAGUGCAAGCAUACUAAGCUCAUAUCACCGACGAAAGCUUGCAUUCAUUACUACAGAAUGUGGAGUAAGGGUCCACGCUAAAACUAGGUCCAUUUUAUAAGAGCAAGUAACUUAGAGGAAGUGUUCACUAUUAGAUUGCUGCAAAACCAAUUAGACAAAUCAGCUUGUAAAGUAACCUUCCAAGUAACCAAUGCAAUACACAUACAGUCUAAUAAACGUUCAAACCAUUCAACAUCUUUACAUUUCAUACUCACUAAACACAUUCAACAUAGAAAUAGCUCCAGUGAUAUGUUUAUUUGUGGCUCAAAAGGCGAAAAUAACAGGGUUGCUGGUUUCAACUUGGAUGGUAAUAACCGAACACGCCAUAGAUGGUUUGUGCAAACGUAAGAAUCAGCAGAACCACGGCUGCAACAAAUGAGAUGAUUGCCCAGGGAUUGUUAAAAUAGUUGUGCUUUAAGGUUGCCUGCCAGGCGUUCCACCUGUGGUCAUGAUACUUGUUGAUCUCCGCUGACAAGCGCGAAUGAUAACUGUCAUUGAUGUCGAAAACGACCUCUUGACACAGCUUGUUAAAGAGUUCAGCAACUUCGUGAUCACUACCAAGCCAAUGCUCAAUGAUCCCACAAUAAUGAAGGUAACCUACAUCUUCGGUCGAGUUGAUCAUAUUGUUCAUGAAGAUCACAUAUGAUGUUAUUUCAUUGCCACAAUCCAGAUGACACUGCUCGAAUGCUAUGAGGUUGAGAAAAAGUGACUUGGUACCAUCAUGAAUCAAGAGCCUGGGAAUCUGAAGCAGCCCAUUACUGAAUGUUAUAUCCCAGAAGCGAUCUGUCUUCUUCUUCUUAAACUUGACUCCAGAUUCUCUCAGCUCUGUUACACAAUGUGUCAACUGCUGCCUGCGUUUAUCUGCGACUCGACAAACAUGAGACCAUUGCUUCUUCCAAACCUGUGGAAGUGGUGAAGGCCCUCUACGCAGCAAACUCUGCCUGAAAACAUCCAGACAGUGAAGGCCUUGAUCAGAUAAAGGGUCAAAUGUGUUUGUAUAUCCUACUGAAUGUUCCAUUUUGUUCCUAUUACUCUUUGUCAAAGGCUCAUCCGUCGGCAUUAGUGGAUCGAAAAAACUAAGGGCGAGCCUGGCAACAAGCCCUUUCUGAUCAGGAUGACCCAACUGAAGGCCUAAUAACCGAUCAAGAACGAAAAGGGGAAUCUGAUUUUCAAGCAUAAUCAUAUCGCGCUGAAUUGAAUGCAUUGAUCCACGCAUAGCAAACACAGGGUCAUUUCGAGAGUACCCAAUCUGCUGGAAUCCCUCUGAAGCGCCACGAAACAGGUCAAGAAUGAAGCAUCCAUCAAGCACCAUCAUUUCCACAAACUCAUUGCUACUAAGAUUAAUCUUCCCUUCAUAACAAGCCCGAGUCCUCUCUUCAAGUUCCUUCAUAGAAUCCAAAUACAGUUUUAAAUCCUGAUUAGUACGCU
rnacentral:lncRNA from 1 species